rnacentral:lncRNA from 1 species
GUAGAAACAGUGUCCACUCGGACGACCAGAGCCACAGCCCAGAGAUCUCAGGUUGUUUCAGAAAGAUGUCACUGAGGGAUGCUGCGGAGGCUCCUGCUCAGGACUAACGGCCUGACAACGCGGAGGUGACAGGGACCGUGUGGCCAGCAGCAGAGAGGGGCCACAGGUGGGGAGGGGGCAGACAGUUCCUGACACCAUUCAGCCCUCAGUAGAGCCUGGACUCUUCCGUCCUCUCCUGAAGCACAUGAACCUCCUGCUGUUCCUCCGCACCGGAGUCAACGCCCUCUCCUUGUGGUGGUGAGUGUGGCACGUGAAGCUGGUGCCGGGGGGCCUGUGACCCCCCCAGUCCCAGAUGUGUUCCCAUUUUGUGGGCAGCUGGACUACUGGGGGUUCAUGGAGUGGUCUCGCCUGCCCGGCAGGUGUUUGGGGAUGCCAGAGGCCACUUCAGCUUCUCUGAAGGACUCUGGGUCACUAUCAGAAGGCUUGGUUUUGGGGGGCACCAGGGUGGCUCAGUCGGUUAAAGCAGCCGACUUUGGCUCCGGUCAUGAUCUCACGGUUGGUGGGUUUGAGCCCCGCAUCUGCUGUCAGUGCAGAGCCUGCUUUGGAUCCUUUGUCUCUCUCAGUCCCUCCCCUGCUCUCGCUCUCUCUCAAAAACAAAUAAUAUUAAAAAAAAAAAAAAAGGCUUGACUUUGGGAAACAACUUCAAAAGUCUUUUUUGCAGUCCUGACCCCAGAAGUUAGGGCAGUAGAGCGAAGGGGUAACCAUCUUCUCGCCUCCUACAGAAUCUGACACACGGGUACCUUUCUAGUUCUGUUCCUCGGGAAGCCGGAUGAAAAGGGAAUGUCAGCUGUCUCAAGGCAACGUUGCUCAUGGCAGGAACGGACCGUAACUGUAAAUUAUCUGGACCAGCCGCUUUGGGCCUCCUCAGUGCCGUGACUCAAUGGGGCACGUCCCUUGUAGGGACCCGGAAGCGAUGCCUGUGGAGUAGCUGUGCCGACGAACUGGGGAGUUGUUGCUCCCUCGGGGCGUGAUGCUAAGCCAAGGUGAACCCCACGGCUCCCCGAUGUGCCCCAUCCUCUUGCCACCUGGGCUGUCACCUGGAUGAUGGCGGGCC